ACGGUUAAGCCGGGAAAACAGCGGCUAGUUUGGGAGGGAAGAAACCCCUUGGGCAAACGCCCAAAGCCUGCGUAUAUUCCGGCCGGAGCAUCCUGGCGCCCUAGUUUGGGGAGGAGGGGUGAAGGGGAAGAUCUGGAU
rnacentral:lncRNA from 1 species